GAUGAACGCUGGCGGCGUGCCUAAUACAUGCAAGUCGAGCGAACAGACGAGGAGCUUGCUCCUUUGACGUUAGCGGCGGACGGGUGAGUAACACGUAGGUAACCUACCUUUAAUACUGGGAUAACUUCGGGAAACCGGAGCUAAUACCGGAUAAUAUUUCGCACCGCAUGGUUCGAUAGUGAAAGAUGGCUUUUCUAUCACUUAUCGAUGGACCUGCGCCGUAUUAGCUAGUUGGUAAGGUAACGGCUUACCAAGGCAACGAUACGUAGCCGACCUGAGAGGGUGAUAGGCCACAUUGGAACUGAGACACGGUCCAGACUCCUAAGGGAGGCAGCAGUAGGGAAUCGGCCGCAAUGGGAGAAAGCCUGACGGAGCAACGCCGCGUGAGUGAUGAAGGUCUUCGGAUCGUAAAACUCUGUUAUUAGGGAAGAACAAACGUGUAAGUAACUGUGCACGGAUUGACGGUAACUAAUCAGAAAGCCACGGCUAACUACGUG
rnacentral:rRNA from 1 species